AUUGAACGCUGGCGGCAGGCCUAACACAUGCAAGUCGCACGAGUGGCGGACGGGUGAGUAAUGUCUGGGAAACUGCCAGAUGGAGGGGGAUAACUACUGGAAACGGUAGCUAAUACCGCAUACCAUCGGAUGUGCCCAGAUGGGAUUAGCUAGUAGGUGGGGUAACGGCUCACCUAGGCGACGAUCCCUAGCUGGUCUGAGAGGAUAACCAUGAAAACGGGAAAUGAGACACGGUCCAGACUCCUACGGGAGGCAGCAGUGGAGAAUAUUGCACAAUGGGCGCAAGCCUGAGGCAGACAUGCCGCGGUUAUGAAGAAGGCCUUAGGGGUGUAAAGUAAUUUCAGCGGGGAGGCGUUACCCGCAGAAGAAGCACCGGCUAACUCCGGGCCAGCAGCCGCGGUAAUAC
rnacentral:rRNA from 1 species